rnacentral:rRNA from 1 species
GAUAAACGCUGGCGGCGUGCCUAACACAUGCAAGUCGAACGAAGCUCUCUGAAUUGAGUUUUCGGACAAGAGGAAGAGAUGACUUAGUGGCGGACGGGUGAGUAAUGCGUGAGCAACCUGCCUUUCAGAGGGGGACAACAGUUGGAAACGACUGCUAAUACCGCAUAAUGUAUUUUGAUGGCAUCAUCGAAAUACCAAAGAUUAUAUCGCUGAAAGAUGGGCUCACGUCUGAUUAGCUAGUUGGUGAGGUAACGGCUCACCAAGGCUGCGAUCAGUAGCCGGACUGAGAGGUCGAACGGCCACAUUGGGACUGAGAUACGGCCCAGACUCCUACGGGAGGCAGCAGUGGGGAAUAUUGGGCAAUGGGCGCAAGCCUGACCCAGCAACGCCGCGUGAAGGAAGAAGGCUUUCGGGUUGUAAACUUCUUUUGGCAGGGACGAAACAAAUGACGGUACCUGCAGAAUAAGCACCGGCUAACUACGUGCCAGCAGCCGCGGUAA